rnacentral:rRNA from 1 species
CAGCAGCCGCGGUAAUACGGAGGGUGCAAGCGUUAAUCGGAAUUACUGGGCGUAAAGCGUGCGUAGGCGGCUUUUUAAGUCGGAUGUGAAAUCCCUGAGCUUAACUUAGGAAUUGCAUUCGAUACUGGGAAGCUAGAGUAUGGGAGAGGAUGGUAGAAUUCCAGGUGUAGCGGUGAAAUGCGUAGAGAUCUGGAGGAAUACCGAUGGCGAAGGCAGCCAUCUGGCCUAAUACUGACGCUGAGGUACGAAAGCAUGGGGAGCAAACAGGAUUAGAUACCCGGGUAGUCCCUGUCUCUUAUAA